rnacentral:misc_RNA from 1 species
GGGAAAUCCUUUUUCUUCCUUUCUUUGGAGUUUGAAUAAUUGGUUUCCUUCCCAUAAUCCUUAUUUAGUUUUAAGAUGCGUCGGCCUGCUGGAAAAACAAAGGAUAUUGUCUUCCCCUGUAGCAGACCCAUGUUAUUGUAAUUUAGCUUACAAGGAAUAUUGCAAUUUUCAAUAUUGAUAUCAGGGCAUACACAUGUUUCCUUACCUCUUGGGUAAUGCAAAUGUCUAAUGCAUCAGGAAAAUUUCCAUUGCACUUGUUUCUAUGAUGGUCCUGAAUUUGUUACUUAGUGUCUCAAAGUCGGAAAUUAUUGGUUAUGUUGUUUUCACCUGUGGCUUUCUUUUUUGUUAAAGAAAGGUUUAUUAAUUUUUGUUAUCAUGUAUGAAUCUGUGCAAUGGAUUAUUGGCAAUGUUCUGAUUCAAAUUUUUUGAGCAAUCAUCUGUAGGUAUGAGCUUUGUUU